GAUAGCUCAGCUAGGUAGAGCAAUAGAAAUAUGCAGGUUCGAAUCCUGCACUAAUCA
rnacentral:tRNA from 1 species